rnacentral:rRNA from 1 species
UACGAAGGGGGGCUAGCGUUGCUCGGAAUCACUGGGCGUAAAGCGCACGUAGGCGGAUCUUUAAGUCAGGGGUGAAAUCCCGAGGCUCAACCUCGGAACUGCCUUUGAUACUGGGGAUCUCGAGUCCGGAAGAGGUUGGUGGAACUCCGAGUGUAGAGGUGAAAUUCGUAGAUAUUCGGAAGAACACCAGGUGGCGAAGGCGGCCAACUGGUCCGGUACUGACGGCUGAGGUGCGAAAGCGUGGGGAGCAACAGG